rnacentral:rRNA from 1 species
AUUGAACGCUGGCGGCAGGCCCAACACAUGCAAGUCGAACGGUAACAGGAAGCAGCUUGCUGCUUUGCUGACGAGUGGCGGACGGGUGAGUAAUGUCUGGGAAACUGCCCGAUGGAGGGGGAUAACUACUGGAAACGGUAGCUAAUACCGCAUAAUGUCGCAAGACCAAAGAGGGGGACCUUCGGGCCUCUUGCCAUCGGAUGUACCCAGAUGGGAUUAGCUAGUUGGUGAGGUAACGGCUCACCAAGGCGACGAUCCCUAGCUGGUCUGAGAGGAUGACCAGCCACACUGGAACUGAGACACGGUCCAGACUCCUACGGGAGGCAGCAGUGGGGAAUAUUGCACAAUGGGCGCAAGCCUGAUGCAGCCAUGCCGCGUGUAUGAAGAAGGCCUUCGGGUUGUAAAGUACUUUCAGCGGGGAGGAAGGGGUUAAGGUUAAUAACCUUAGCCAUUGACGUUACCCGCAGAAGAAGCACCGGCUAACUCCGUGCCAGCAGCCGCGGUAAUACGGAGGGUGCAAGCGUUAAUCAGAAUUACUGGGCGUAAAGCGCACGCAGGCGGUCUGUCAAGUCGGAUGUGAAAUCCCCGGGCUCAACCUGGGAACUGCAUUCGAAACUGGCAGGCUUGAGUCUCGUAGAGGGGGGUAGAAUUCCAGGUGUAGCGGUGAAAUGCGUAGAGAUCUGGAGGAAUACCGGUGGCGAAGGCGGCCCCCUGGACAAAGACUGACGCUCAGGUGCGAAAGCGUGGGGAGCAAACAGGAUUAGAUACCCUGGUAGUCCACGCUGUAAACGAUGUCGACUUGGAGGUUGUUCCCUUGAGGAGUGGCUUCCGGAGCUAACGCGUUAAGUCGACCGCCUGGGGAGUACGGCCGCAAGGUUAAAACUCAAAUGAAUUGACGGGGGCCCGCACAAGCGGUGGAGCAUGUGGUUUAAUUCGAUGCAACGCGAAGAACCUUACCUACUCUUGACAUCCAGAGAACUUAGCAGAGAUGCUUUGGUGCCUUCGGGAACUCUGAGACAGGUGCUGCAUGGCUGUCGUCAGCUCGUGUUGUGAAAUGUUGGGUUAAGUCCCGCAACGAGCGCAACCCUUAUCCUUUGUUGCCAGCGGUCCGGCCGGGAACUCAAAGGAGACUGCCAGUGAUAAACUGGAGGAAGGUGGGGAUGACGUCAAGUCAUCAUGGCCCUUACGAGUAGGGCUACACACGUGCUACAAUGGCAUAUACAAAGAGAAGCGACCUCGCGAGAGCAAGCGGACCUCAUAAAGUAUGUCGUAGUCCGGAUUGGAGUCUGCAACUCGACUCCAUGAAGUCGGAAUCGCUAGUAAUCGUAGAUCAGAAUGCUACGGUGAAUACGUUCCCGGGCCUUGUAUACACCGCCCGUCACACCAUGGGAGUGGGUUGCAAAAGAAGUAGGUAGCUUAACCUUCGGGAGGGCGCUUACCACUUUGUGAUUCAUGACUGGGGUG